GGCUGGGUAGCUCAGAUGGUUGGAGCAUUGUCCUAAUACGCCAAAGUUGUGGGUUCACUCCCCAGUCA
rnacentral:tRNA from 1 species